GUGAGAAGGAAGGGUCAGGUGGUUGUGCAAGGGACAGGAAGGAGCUGGCCAUACAGAAUAAAGAGAAAAGGAGUCAGUGUUGUGAGGAGCUGCCCAUGGGAACUCACUAAGAGAAGGAAAGAAGUGUAGAAUGCUACUCUUCUGGGAAGGUUUUCAAAAGUAAUUUUGAAAACAAAAAGCAUAUGAUCAAUUUCUGGAGAAGGCAGCUGAAAACUCAUAGGCAGAAGAAAUUGAAGAAGUCAUGAUUUUUGACUGCUUACAGGGAGAGCCUCAGAGGUCUGAUUACAAGUUGGAUGGUUGGUAGAAAGAUUUGAAAAACUGGUAAAAUGAAUACAAGCAUAUUAUCAAUAUGUUUUUUGCUCUCAAAAC